rnacentral:misc_RNA from 1 species
CUCCAGCCCGGCGUWUGGCGUUAGCUGUCUCGGCAGGCUGCGUGAGAUGGCUCGGCAUUACGGGCUCUCUCCCAGCGCACGCCAGGUAGCGAGGCAGUCGUUCGGUCUAAUCUGUGUGUGUCCGCAGCUCGCAGCCGCAACGGACGGUUUGAGCGGGCUAGAGAAAUUAUAGUGUUCGGCUCGGGUCUCGAGUGGCACGCGCCCUCUCGAUGGGUGGCGUGCCGGCAAUCAGAAAGCUGGCAUAGCUUGUGUGUGGUUUCGGUCAGUCCUGCCCGGCGUAGCAGGAGCUUGUCGGCAGGCGUCCAGUGGUUUGCAUGUAUCGGCGGGCAGCCGGCGGAGGGCGCGCUGAGCGAUGACUUCCCCGGGCCCGUGCGUACGUGAAUAGUCCUAUUCGGUCCGACAGAUAUCUGGUUGAUCCUGCCAGU